GUCGCACUUAAAAGGGGCUCGGCCUGGACCCGCGAGCAGCUUUCCGCUUUCCGCCUUCCGCGUCGCGGGCGCUCUGCUCCUUAAAGAUCGAAACGUGCUCCCGAAACGUACGGAGCUACUUUUGGGGCAAGUGCUUUUCGUGGGCGAUCCUGUGUGCUGCACUGCCCCCCCCCCCCCUCCACCAAAAUGGCUCCGUCCCCUCCGAGGCCUUUCUCUCCCCCGGGUCAGCCCUCCACACCGUGUGCCCGACAAGUUCUGAGGUCAAGCUUCAGAGUUCUGCCUGGAUCCAGAGCCUGCUCGGGGCUCGCUCUCAUAAAACAGAUGUGUCCCGGGGGGUCUCUCUGAGCCGAUCUUACGUGGAGCUUACUGAGUGGUUUCAGGUUUCUCAACAAGUUUACCACACAAACCCUUCUAA